rnacentral:misc_RNA from 1 species
AACUCUCAACCUCCAACUUUUUUAUUAAGGUUGAAGGCUUGGACUUGAGCGCUGCUGGUUUUUAUUAACCGGCUCGCUUGAAAUGAAUUAGCAGAUCCUUUUUGUAAUCGGUUCCACUCGACGUGAUAAGUAUUUCGCCGAGGACAUACGAAAGUAUGGCCGAGAUAAAGAAAGUUUUUUAGAUCCGCUUCUAAUUCUUAGAUAGAGCUUGCUCUACUAAACCCCAUUUUAUG